rnacentral:misc_RNA from 1 species
GAUGAAGAACGUAGCGAAAUGCGAUAAGUAAUGUGAAUUGCAGAAUUCAGUGAAUCAUCGAAUCUUUGAACGCACAUUGCGCCCGCCAGUAUUCUGGCGGGCAUGCCUGUUCGAGCGUCAUUACAACCCUCAGGCCCCCGGGCCUGGCGUUGGGGAUCGGCGGAGCCCCCCGUGGGCACACGCCGUCCCCCAAAUACAGUGGCGGUCCCGCCGCAGCUUCCAUCGCGUAGUGGCUAACACCUCGCGACUGGAGAGCGGCGCGGCCAGGCCGUAAAACACCCAACUCUUCUGAAGUUGACCUCGAAUCAGGUAGGAAUACCCGCUGAACUUAAGCAUAUCAAUAAGCGGAGGA